UGUCCAAUGCGGGAAUCGAACCCGGGUCCUAGUGGUCGAAAACCAAACGGUUUAACCAGCCUUCCACCGACCCCCUCAGGCUAAUUGUGAU